rnacentral:tRNA from 1 species
GAGGCCUUAGUUUAAUUAAAGCGUCUGAUUUGCAAUCAGGAGAUGUAGAG